GGGCUCACUUUGGCAGUUCAUGUACUAAAAUUGGAACAAUACAGAGAAGAUCAGCAUGGCCCCUGGGAGGGUGGCAAGCAACUUCAUGAGAGGUUAGAAAAUCUC
rnacentral:snRNA from 1 species